rnacentral:snRNA from 1 species
AUCGCUUCUCGGCCUUUUGGCUAAGAUCAAGUGUAGUAUCUGUUCUUAACAGUUUAAUAUCUGAUACGUCCUCUAUCCGAGGACAAUAUAUUAAAUGGAUUUUUGGAAAAAAAAUAAAUAAAAAAGAACAGCACACUGCCACGUCAUUGUUAUAUGUAAGUCCCUGGUGGCGGCCACUGUGUCGGUCCAUGUCACUGAGGGCCUGCCUCC